rnacentral:rRNA from 1 species
GAUGAACGCUGGCGGCGUGCCUACUACAUGCAAGUCGAGCGAACAGACGAGGAGCUUGCUCCUCUGACGUUAGCGGCGGACGGGUGAGUAACACGUGGAUAACCUACCUAUAAGACUGGGAUAACUUCGGGAAACCGGAGCUAAUACCGGAUAAUAUAUUGAACCGCAUGGUUCAAUAGUGAAAGACGGUUUUGCUGUCACUUAUAGAUGGAUCCGCGCCGCAUUAGCUAGUUGGUAAGGUAACGGCUUACCAAGGCAACGAUGCGUAGCCGAACUGAGAGGGUGAUCGGCCACACUGGAACGGGGACACGGUCCAGACUCCUACGGGAGGCAGCAGUAGGGAAUCUUCCGCAAUGGGCGAAAGCCUGACGGAGCAACGCCGCGUGAGUGAUGAAGGUCUUCGGAUCGUAAAACUCUGUUAUUAGGGAAGAACAAAUGUGUAAGUAACUAUGCACGUCUUGACGGUACCUAAUCAGAAAGCCACGGCUAACUACGUGCCAGCCGCCGCAGUAA